AGGAGCACCGUUCUCAAUAGUGGUCCUGUGGUGUUGCCUCCAUAAACUACAAGGGCCUUUUCCGCUCCGCCAUCCAUCUUCCACAGCUGAAAAAGCUAAGCUGCCCUCAAUUGUUGAUUGCCGAGAAAGAAAACAUUCUUCGAUGUGCUGCACCACACAGCAGGUAAGGAGGCCCUAAAGAAGGGGAUUCGAUCUUGUGAAUGGACAUCAUCACUGCCCCCCCGACAAUCUUCCACUUCAACAAGAGUAACCCCCACGACCUCGGCCCCCGAGCAAGCUUUGAAACCUGAGAAAGCUGUCCCGACCUUUGACAUUCAGGCUCCCGCCUCUCACGGUAAGAGGAGCCCACCGGCCCCUCCCGUUCUCCAACCCUUUCGGACAGGAUGUGACCUAUGAGGAGGGCUCUGCAGGAGGGCCUUGACCCCAGACACUGUCCAGACUACGUGUCUGGACCCAACCUGGGUCGAUCAAACCUGAUAA